UUGUAAUCUAAAUAAUACCAGCAAUUUUUAAUCGGCUCAUUUGUGUUCCAGAAAUGCAGGAUGAUUCAGAAAGGUGAAGUGCUUAGGAUCUCAGAAACAUUUCUUUUUAUCUUUGGCUUUCUUUUUAAAACACUUAAUAUGGUUUGCCUGUGUCCCCACCCAAAUCUCAUCUUGACUUGUAUUUCCCAUAAUCCCCUCGUGGGAGGGACCCAGUAGGAGGUAAUUGAAUCAUGGGGGUGCUUACCCCCAUGCUGCUGUUCUCAUAAGAUCUGAAGGUUUUAUAAGGGGCUUUUUCUCCCUUUUCUCGGCACUUCUCCUUGCUGCUGCCAUGUGAAGAAGAACAUGUUUGCUUCCCCUUCCACCAUGAUUGUAAGUUUCCUGAGUCCUCUCCAGCCCUGCAGAACUGAAGAGACACUCGGUGGAGGAUUCAAGCUGAUACAGGAGCCGUGGAUUGCCACCUGCCUCUUCUCCUAUGCCUGUCAUGAGUACACACACCAGUCCUGUCUGCUGGCCAAGCCCCCUUGCUCCCAGGUGGGAGAACAAUGUGUAGAAGCACAAAUUAUAAACUGAUUCUUGUGUUCUCUAAAGACAGUCUGUUUUUCAGAUCAUGAUUAGGAAUGAGUAAACGGUAAGUCUCAAAGUUUUCAGGGGCUUAUUAUACAGGGCCUAUCAGAGUAAAAAUAGAAAUUACAACAGCCCAACAUGGAAGAAAGUUUUCCUUCCUCACUCCCAAACUUCAAACAGAGUCCGAGGGUUAGGAUGUGGGCGUAGCUUUUUGGGGGGCCACAAUUCAACCCAUUCCAGCUAACUUGAUUGAGUAUUGAUGCCUUUUAAACAAGCAAUGGAGUGAUCAUCGGAGAUGAAGAAGCAAUUUAAGCUCAACCCUCAAAUGCAAACCCUUCCAAAGCAAACAUCCUAGGAGGUGCUACUUGAGUUAACCUCGGAGAUGAUUAACCUGGGUUUUGCACCACUGCCCUGAGCCAUUUUCCACAGAACAGAACAGAACAGAAUUCUUUAUUAUGUUUCUCAAGAUGCUACUUUUCUACACUGCAGUUAUUUCAGGCAUGACUCAUGUUAAAAUGAGUGUGAUAAGAUUUCUUGGUAAAACCCCUGGGAGGCUUUGAGUAGAGAGUUUUUAACAGUAGCUACCCCAAGCAAGGCAGCUGGAGUGGGUUGAAUGGUUCCUCCCCAAAAGAUCAUCCCUGUCCUAACCCUUGGACUCUGACUGUGACCUUAUUUGGAAAAAGAGAGUUUACAGAUGUAACUAAGUUUGAGAUCUCAAAAUGAGGUCACCCUGGAUUACACAAUGGGCCCUAAAGUCAAUUACAGGCAUCCUUAUAAGAGACAGCAGAGAAGACACAGACACAGAGGGGAAGGCCAUGUGAAGGCAGAGAAUGGAGUGACGCAGCCACAAACCAAGCAAUGCCUGGAGCCACCAGAAGCUGGAAGAGGCAAGGAAGGGACUCUUCUUCAGAGGGAGCAGGGCCCUGCCCACACCUUAGCUUCAGACUUCUAGCCUCCAGAACUGGGAGAGAAGAAAUGUCUGUUGUUUGAAGCCACCCAGCUGUGGCACUUUAUUACGGCAGCACGGGAAAUGCAUACAGCCUCCAAAAGAGAACGAAGCCCUUCUGAGAGCUUGAUUCCAGACAUGCAAGACCCUGAGCCCACCGCGCCUGGGUUUCUGCCUACAGAACUGUGAGAUAAUCCAUGGUUGUUUUACGCCACUCCAAUUGCAAUAAGACAGUGAGGAUGUCAUGUGAGUGACCAGCAAGGCAUGUGGCCCAACCAGACAGCCAGGGAAGGCCUUUAACGAGUAACUUGAGGCUGAGAGUGAGGUGGUGAGUUGUGGAGAAAGUCCCAGCUCAGGGUUCACUGUGGACCAACAGCUCUUUACUGUGGGGUACUACCUUCCUGGAGAAUUUCCUGGAGAGUAUAAGGCCUGACGUGGGCCUUCAAAUAUCUCAACAAGAACAAUAAAUCCCUCCAGAAAACCAUAUUACUCCACUUUCUUUCCAAAGGAAAUUCAAGUCUGUUGAAAUGCUUGCUCUAAAACAGUUUCCAGUGAUAUUAAACAAAUUCGUGGCUCUCAGAAUACCUUGGGUGAUGAUCAAUAAGAGUUGUAUGUGCUUUACAUGCUGAUAAUCACACCUAACCCACAGCAUUUGUCUGAUGCCUAAGUGGGCUCAGAUUUGCCCAAGGCUCUGGUCCAAGGACCUCUGAGGGACACAGCCUCGUCACUCAGACAGGAGAGCCCAACUCAGUGACAAACAAAGGCCAAGGGAUUCUGCACAUGAAGACAAAACAGAGUCUUCCUUCUCAACUAGAGAAUGGCUUAUCUAAGAAAAAAAUCAACUGGAGAGAAAAAAAAAGUGAGGAUGUCAGCAUUUAACAGGAAUCUUGAAACUUUGACAGGAAGGGUGACCCUUUUCGGUCAAUCUGAAAUGUAUGCAGACAGGUCACAGAUAUAUUCCAAAUACAUUUUUUUAAUUGCUAAAUAUGUUUAAAGAAGAUUUUUAAAAUAAAACUCAAUGGACCAGUUUAUACACUGCAAAUUCAUUACAUUUUUCCAACCACGCAGAGCUAGGCUUAAACUCAACUAUACUGAAGGUUAAACUCAACUAUUACCAGUGUUAUUCUAUCCCAAAGAAUGAGCCAGGUCUAAGCUGAUGUUUCCUCCUGUUGUGACAAUAAGAACUUUCCCCAUUGUCUUCCACCUUUCCCCUUCUCGCUCCAUUUCCACCUCUCCAUCGCGCAGGGAAGGCAGAUUAGAGUUCACUAGAAACACAAUACCUGAAACAUAAAGGCCUCACACCUACCCGCCUAGGAGUACAGCUCAGAUGAUCUUUCUAAUAAGGAGUGGCAAUGGAGCUUGCAGGCCGAAGAAACUAUAACUUGGGUGUGAUUGACAAGAGCUUAGGCUAACACAUGCCUGCUUCUAUAAUUAUAUUGUUUGUCUAGAGAGAAAAAACAAAAAAACAAUAAAUCAUCCAGCGGUGCAUGACUGGCUUAGUUCUCUGUCUCUCUCUCACUGGGAAACUCACGAUGAAGUUCUUCCAGGAAGAGGUUGCAACCCCACCUGCCCACCAUUCUCCAUGACACCUGUCACUGACCAAGAUGCAAGAAACACAUGGGCCCCUGCAAAAUCUCUCGAUUCAUUUUACUGUUUCUUGGUGAACUGACUUGUAUUAUCUCCCUUUUCGCUACCCUUAUUAGUUUCCUACAAACCACUACAAGUUAGCAGCUUAAAACCACACAUGGCGGGGCGUGGUGGCUCACG
rnacentral:lncRNA from 1 species